rnacentral:rRNA from 1 species
GGGACGAACGCUGGCGGCGUGCUUAACACAUGCAAGUCGAGCGCUGAAGCCUUUCGGGGUGGAUGAGCGGCGAACGGGUGAGUAACACGUGGGUGACCUGCCCUCUACUCUGGGAUAAGCUUGGGAAACUGGGUCUAAUACCGGAUAUGACUUCAUGCUUCAUGGUGUGGGGUGGAAAGCUCUGUUCCUUUUGGGGAUGGUGUGGUGGGGGAUGGGCCCGCGGCCUAUCAGCUUGUUGGUGGGGUGAUGGCCUACCAAGGCUUCGACGGGUAGCCGGCCUGAGAGGGCGUCCGGCCACACUGGGACUGAGACACGGCCCAGACUCCUACGGGAGGCAGCAGUGGGGAAUAUUGCGCAAUGGGCGGAAGCCUGACGCAGCGACGCCGCGUGGGGGAUGACGGCCUUCGGGUUGUAACCUCUUUCGACCUCGACGAAGCUUUUCGGAGUGACGGUAGGGUGGAAGAAGCACCGGCCAACUACGUGCCAGCAGCCGCGGU